rnacentral:tRNA from 1 species
GUCCCUGUAGUUUAAUGGAUAGAACAAAAACCUCCUAAGUUUUAGGUCCAGGUUCGAUUCCUGGCGGGGAUACCA